rnacentral:rRNA from 1 species
GGGGAAUUUUCCGCAAUGGGCGGAAGCCUGACGGAGCAAUCUCGCGUGAGGGAUGACGGCCUAUGGGUUGUAAACCUCUUUUUUCAGGGAGGAACAAAAUGACGUGUACCUGAAGAAUAAGCAUCGGCUAACUCCGUGCCAGCAGCCGCGGUAAUACGGGAGUGGCAAGCGUUAUCCGGAAUUAUUGGGCGUAAAGCGUCCGCAGGCGGCCUUUCAAGUCUGCUGUUAAAGCGUGGAGCUUAACUCCAUUAAGGCAGUGGAAACUGUUGGGCUUGAGUGUGGUAGGGGCAGAGGGAAUUCCCGGUGUAGCGGUGAAAUGCGUAGAUAUCGGGAAGAACACCAGUGGCGAAGGCGCUCUGCUGGGCCAUAACUGACGCUCAUGGACGAAAGCCAGGGGAGCGAAAGGGAUUAGAUACCCCUGUAGUC